rnacentral:lncRNA from 1 species
AGAAUCCAGUUCUUUAGCAUUCACUGCUGUCAUUAUGACUCAGCUUGCCAAUCUGGGCACAAAGAAGCUAGAUACAAGUAGGUCAAGGCAAGGACAUGCUGACCAAAGUCAAUCACGAUUGUUUGAGCUGCCUCCUGACUUCCCUCCCAAGAUGGAGAGUUAUUUAAGGACCCAUGCAUUGUGUUUGUUUCUAUACCCCUAUCACCGAGCUAUGCGCCCGGUACGUGGUAAGUGUUUUGAUUUCCUGUGGCCGAGAGAUGAGAAACAACACCCUAGAAGAGAGGGAGACACAGUGAUGGCGGGAGAUUCAACAAUGGAUGGCUUGGCAUAGAAGUCAAGAGGGACACAUGGCUCUAUUCAUUACAGAAACCCAAUAUGUAACAACAGAAAUUCAUAGGGAAGAAAUAACUUUUCAUUCUCUACAUCCUCAUUCAUUCAACAAAUAUUUAUUGAACGUCGAUUUUGCAUGAGACUAUGAGGCAGAGUUAAGCAAUGAACUUCGAGUCUAUCCUUCUUCCACUGAACCCAGUUCAAUCUGGGAAGGAUGGAUGAGGAGCCCUGAAAUGGAAGUCACUGUAAAGUCAUCCCUUUUUCCUUCAAGGAGCUCAAAGCCUGGCUGGAGAGACAAGAUUAGAAAGCAAGGAGUAAUUAUACAUUUAAGCCUUGUGUCUGCAGACCUAGUGAUCUUAACUGAUUCAGGAUGCUGCCAAUCCGGCAUGGAAUUCUGAGAGCCUAGACACCUGGAUCCACUCUUAGAUCCCUCAUCUCACUGUGUAAUCUUGGACAAGUCCUUUACCUUGCUGAGCCUCAGUUUCCCCAAUCGUGCUGAAUAAAUUAUUGAAUCUUAAAAUACAUGACUAGGACCAGAAAAGGAGAGAGACCAAAUCUGCC